CAAUUAUAUAGGAGCCCAAAAUCAAUUAAAAGAAAGCCCAUACAAAACAAAACAAAACAAAAUCAAAGCCCAUCUCUAUCUCUCUCACUAUCGGUCUCUCUCUCCUCACAAUUUCAGAUCUCUCUCUCUUCAAAGAAACGCACACACACAGACGCACAUCAUUCUCUCACGCCAUCUGCCGCUGCCGCCUGAGACCGGCGAAGGAUCCAGCGCAACCGCCGGCGACAGAUGUUGCUGUUGCCGCUGCUGUCUGAGAUCGGCGGUCAAAACGCCUGCUGGAGGAACGCCGUCGUCGUUAGCUCGUCCGAAGUCGCCGCCAACUGCCGCUGCUGUUUCGCCGGAGUCGUGGCCUGGAGCUGCUGCAGCUCGUCCGGUGGUUAGUGGCUCGCUGGAGGAGCGCCGCCGCCGGCCCUUCUUCAAUAUCGAUCGGCUCCUCCUUCUUUCUUCCUCACGCAGAUCUCAGUCGAGUCCCACUCUGGGAAUCAUCGCCGCUGCUGUCACGCCCGUCUGGAAUCCAGCGACUCAGUCGGCGUCUGGGAGCGGCGCCGUCCAACUCCCAUCUUGAUAUCCCUCUCCGACGUCGAGCCUUAGGUUUCAAAAAGGGCAGAACGCCGUUGCCGUGCGUCCGCUGCUGGUGCGCUCGAGCCCCUGCUCGACCAUGGUUCAGGUCGGCUGCUGCUGUGCGAUUUCCGGCGAAGGGUGUCGCCUCGCCUCCUCCUCGGAGCCGUUCAGUCCUCCUCCCUCUCAGAAGCUAAGUUCCCUACUCUCACUUUACAACUACUGCGUAUGAAUUUUCUGAGGUAUCUUAAUGUACAUGGUUUAUCAGUUGUGAGAUGGUAAAGCUAUGGUGUGAAGGUCAAAAUCUGUUAAAUGCUAUAUGUUGCUGGUUCUUCAUGCUGCUAUGUUCAUUCUCACAUAUUGGUUUUGUUUGUCUAUCAUGCUUGGAUGCAGAAAAUGUGUGAUGGAAUACAGUAUAUGGGGCUAGGUAAAUACCUUAAAAUGUGUAGUUGGCUAUUGUGGUUGAGCU
rnacentral:lncRNA from 1 species